UUCUUAUCAAGAGAGGUGGAGGGACUGGCCCUGAGAAACCCGACAACCAACAUGUUUUUAUGUGUAAUGGUGUUAAUUCCUACAGAAAUAUGAUUCUGGAAGAUAAGAA
rfam:Clostridium tyrobutyricum DIVETGP, WGS project CBXI01000000 data, contig: NODE_42